GACGAACGCUGGCGGCGCGCCUAACACAUGCAAGUCGAACGGAGUCACGAGGAGCUUGCUUUUCUUGACUUAGUGGCGAACGGGUGAGUAACGCGUGAGUAACCUGCCCUGGAGUGGGGGACAACAGUUGGAAACGACUGCUAAUACCGCAUAAGCCCACGGAUCCGCAUGGAUCUGCGGGAAAAGGAUUUAUUCGCUUCAGGAUGGACUCGCGUCCAAUUAGCUAGUUGGUGAGGUAACGGCCCACCAAGGCGACGAGUGGUAGCCGGACUGAGAGGUUGAACGGCCACAUUGGAACUGAGACACGGCCCAGACUCCUACGGGAGGCAGCAGUGGGGGAUAUUGCACAAUGGGGGAAACCCUGAUGCAGCGACGCCGCGUGGAGGAAGAAGGUUUUCGGAUUGUAAACUCCUGUCGUUAGGGACGAUAAUGACGGUACCUAACAAGAAAGCACCGGCUAACUACGUG
rnacentral:rRNA from 1 species